CUGUCAAAAAUUACUGGCAUUUAUGAGAUAUUUUAAUUUAAAAUUCAAUGUCAUAAAAUCAUUAGUACGUAUAUAGAAAACAAACUGAGGAUUGUAAGAUGAUUUUUUAAGUUAUUUUUGUAUUCAUUUUGUGCUCAGUGUUCUUCAAGGUUUGCUUAUUUCUAAAUUCAUGAAUUUGCCUAAUACAAAAUACAAUAUCUAUUGACUUUACGCGAAAGAAACGAGGGUGUUGGUAGAUUCACGGCAUAAUCCGAUCUGCGGAAUGCGGCUGAACGAGUGCUGCUUUUCGACAAAAUUCUUGUGUUUUACAACGUCGGCGAUCUCGUGUGGCGUGGUGGCAUCAAUGACACCGAUGUUUAUAGGUGAUAAGUGCAGCUAUUUUAAAGGCGCUUCAAUAACGAUAAACUCGACUCAAGGUUUUACAUUAAAUUGACUUGUCAUCUACGAACCGCAGAAAGCUGUCUGCUUAUUUCAUUACGAUAUAAUUUUUCAGGGUGGCUGACCAAAAAGAUCGCACCCCUAUUUGUGAAUGUCCUGGUAUGUAUUAGGAAAAAUGCUCAGAACCGUUAAUUUUGAUUUUUAGGGGGACGUCUUCUCAUCUACAACCGUACAAUCCAGAAUGAUCCAAAAAUAAGUUAUUGCGUUAUAAAUAUAGUUACCAUAGUAACAAGACUUUACUUUAAAAUUAAACAACUUUCCGAAUAUUAACAAAACAAAAAAUAACGCACACGUGAGAAUCUGGAUAAGUAAAAAUUUAUUUGUUAUAAAGAGGUAGAUCAAUGAGGUGAUUACUACUGAGAGUGGUGCCCAUUUACCUCCAUGCAAUAAUAAAAAUUUUGUUCGAAUCUAUUUGGAUGAGAUUUUAGCUAUCUUGAAUGAAAUCUGACUUCAUAUUAAAAACUUUACUUUUAAAAUUUUCUCCAAAGAAAGUAAUAUAAAAGACUUGAGUCCGGAGAUCUUGGCGGCCAGUUAAUGGGGCCUCGUCUGUCGAUCAACAGAUCCAGGAAAUGGGUGUCCAAAAACUGUCGUACUGGAGCCACAUAGUGCAGUCAUCUUGUUGGAAAUAAUUUUCGUUUUUUCUAGUAUGUUCCAGUAUGUCUCUCCCGUCAAGUUGCCGGGAAUAAAGAAAAGUCCUACAAUAUGAUUUUCGAAAAUGCCGGCUCACACAUUUAUUUUUUCAGGAUAUAGCGAGAGUUUAUCUAAAAACAAAUGUGGAUUCGAGUCAGUCUAAUAUCGACAGUUAUGUUUAAUUCCAUCAUCAUGUAUAGACAGACAUAUGCACACUAAUCCAAGAAACAAAUAUUAAAUAACACGAUUUGCGUUGUUCAUUAUACGUUGAAACAUUAGUUCGCAAGACUCCUAUCUUCUACCAAAAUGAUCCUCAUGAAGCCCAUGGACAAAUUUUAUCUUCUACAGGUGGAAUUUAUUGUCUUUCAAACUUCUUUGUAGUAUUAAGCGCGUAAAUUCUAAAGAAAUUAAUGAUGAUCCUAAGAAAUCCAACACCUACAACACCUUUGGAUGUUGUGAAGUGCUACGUGUCCCAAAACUCCUAUUCCUCCUGCUUCAUUUCUAACUGGAUUACUGCAAAUAUUAGACACAGAUUAAGUUUCUUCCAAUUUUUUUAUUAACUUAGCCACAAACUUAAUAUUUUUGUGUGGAUUUAAAGCAUUAAACAACCAGGCAGUAGCUAGCUCUAGCGAUGCUUCCAUUUUGGUAAUACAGUUUUGGUAUUUUUAUCUUUUCUUAAAUUGAAUAAAUCAUUGUUCAAUAUGAAUCGCAACUAGGUAGGUAACUUAACAAUUUGAAAUCGAAGAAAAUAUUUUUCGAUGACAUACGAUGACACUGACUGAUACUUAAUGCUAAGUUAGUCGAAAGUUAUUAACUCAAAGUUAUUGACCCAAAUAUUUUCAUAUUAAUGAUUGAAGAUAGGUAUACAUUUUUUAAACCGCUCCUAAAAAUUUAGAAAGAAUCUAUAAUUUAUAAACAUUGAAAUAAAAAUGGGGGUUUUCAUUUAAAAAUCGAAACUGUAAUCUUAUUCUUGGAUCAGCCUGUAUUAUAUGGCUAUAAUUGAAAAGACGUUCUCCUAGAAA
rnacentral:lncRNA from 1 species